AUCAAGUGGGACUACCCGCUGAACUUAAGCAUAUCAAUAAGCGGAGGA
rnacentral:rRNA from 1 species